CUACAACCUAAACAUAAUAUUGCUCCAACGUCAAAAUACUACAACAACCUCAAAAUAAUACUGCACCAACAUCAAAAUACUCAACAAUCUCAAACUAAUACUGUGCCAGCAUCAAAAUACUACAACCUCAAAAUAAUACUGCUCCAAUCUUAAAUACUACAACCUCAAAAUAAUACUGCUCCAACGUCAAAAUACUACAACAAUCUCAAAAUAAUACUGCUCCAAAGUCAAAAUAAUACAUCCUCAAAACAAUACUGCUCCAAUCUUCAAAAUACUACAACCUCAAAAUAAU